rnacentral:siRNA from 1 species
UACGAAACGGUAUACCACGUGUGA